CAGACACCAUAAACACUGUAGACCCCACAAACUGCCAAGCUUGGUUGGGGUCUCGCCGUCCUCCACCCACCCUGGACCCAAGACUAGGAUCCAGCUUCCAGUGGGUGAACCUCUCCUACUACAGAGAGUAUAGCAGAAACAGCUCUUAUAAGAGCUAGUGAUUAUAAUCCCCGGGAGUAUAAUGAGUAUAGAAUCCCCAGCGUGAAUUAGCU